rnacentral:tRNA from 1 species
GGGGAUUUGGCUCAGUGGUAGAGCGCUUGCCUAGGAAGCGCAAGGUCCUGGGUUCAAUCCCCAGCCCCCA